rnacentral:tRNA from 1 species
CCCUCGGUGGUGCAAAUGGUUAAAGCACUUGGUUGCUAACCAAAAUACUGGUAGUUUGAAUCCACCCAGAGGCA